rnacentral:lncRNA from 1 species
UAUCCAUGUUCCUCAGUAAGCGUCAUCUUGCUCUGGAAAUCCAUUGUCCCACCGUCAUUGUCUCCACUGACGAAGACAAGGUGCUUUUCUGGACCCAGACACUCCCCACGGUCUGGAGCCCAGUCGACUUCAACCCCACAGGAAGCUGCCGCAUAUCAGAGCUUCAAUCUGACCCCAGUUGACCUUCGCCCAAGACGCCACAGCCUUCACCUUCACUCCAGACUCUAGGCCCUUGCCAAUAGUUGGUGGUGCCUCUUUGUAGCAAAAGCUGUGGGGAAAAGAAGAGGAGGGCUGCUAGUCUCAUUACUCCAGGACCCCGUCGGUCCACCAUUUCCAGCCAUUGUGAACAAGAUCAAGGAACUUAACCUCCAACAAAGUACACAGAGGCCCCUACAAGUGGCUGAUGGAGAGGAUGCGCGCACUUGCUCGCGGGGAAGCCCUCAACUUCAUACUUGUUCUCCACUCUGGUCUCCUUGUCCUCCUGUCCCCUCAUCAAAACUCAGUGGAGGAAAGGGUCAGAGGGUAGACACUCCUCAAAGGGUUUUCAGAAGGAGACGAGGGGAGAGCACACAAAGAGGUGGCUAUGAAAUGUAGAUAUUCCCAAAACUUUGAACAGCUUUUUGAAGUGCACUGGCACACGCACCAGACUGGUAGAAAAUAUGUUCAAACAUAGUAAAUGAAUGCCUCGUCUUCAGUGCAUAUUCUGCCUUUAUUUAUUAUUUGAUCAAACUUUCUUGUUGCUGUGUGUGAAUCUAGACUGGUGAUAGGCCAUUUGGUUUAUUCAGUAACUUGUUGACCUACUGCCUGUUUGAAAUGAUCAUGUGACCACUACAGUGGGAAGAGAUGUUUCUCACUGGUCUGGAAAGGAGGCUGUUGACAGUAAAGUAUCCAGACAUCAUUUGUGCACAGUUUUUGAUUUGCAUGUUCUAUUUCGCUACGCCAGUGUUAAUUUUG